AAACAUCGAACGAAGAGUUUGAUCCUGGCUCAGGAUGAACGCUGACAGAAUGCUUAACACAUGCAAGUCGACUCGAGUCUUCGGACUUGGGUGGCGCACGGGUGAGUAACGCGUAAAGAACUUGCCUCUUAGACCGGGACAACAUCUGGAAACGGAUGCUAAUACCGGAUAUUAUGGUUUUUUCGCAUGG
rnacentral:rRNA from 1 species